UUGUUUGGACGGAAAGAAAGCAAAUUCUCGGUUUCCCAGUAGAAAACAGAAUAUAAAGUACCUCUUCCCAUUUGCAAAAUUCUCGAAUCUUCGAAAGGAUCUGUUUUUCAUCUUCUCUUCAAGUUCCACCCUAAACAGUUUAUUCAGAGUCACCGCAUUUUAGACUUGAGCACAGAAAGGGGUGGCAAAUCCGUAGGUUCUUCAAAGACCCCUUGAAAUCUACUCAACAAGAGCUGAAGGUCUUUCUGAGGUAUCUCUAUAAAAUCCUCCUUCUGGACCACCUCCACUUGGAGGAAUAUACCCCUUCCCUUGCCUACUGAUGUCAUCAUAAACUUAUCAGCCCCUUCUAAGAGUGACUUCCUUACAACAGCCCCCACUUAUGAUGAUCUGUCCAUUGGCUAUCUUGACAUUCAGCUUGCUGGAGGGAUUCACUAGAAGCCGAUAUUUAUACACUAUGGAAGGGUCCAAAAAAUUGUGGAUGUUGCUGGAGUCCACCAGAAUCACCACAGCAAGAAGACCUUCAGAUAUUUACAGACAUGGACAGGUUUCCACUUCCCAUCACAGUGGUAACACAGCCCUUUUUAUCCCUUUUUUCAUCAUUUGUGGGGAUGUGACCUUCCUCGGUGGCACAAAUGUUUUCUGUCCUCUGGUAGAACCUUCCCCCUGGUUCACAAGAGAGGGCUGCUGCCUACUCACCGUUGACAUUCCUCUAUCCUUCGUCAGCUUGAAAGUCCUUCUGGUGUUCAACAAAUACUCUUCCUGGAUCUUAGCAAGACUGAAAGCCUCAUUUAGACUGACGGGGUUGAGCAUGUGAAUUGCAAGGUGGAUUUCAUCCUUCAAUCUGCUGAGAAAACAGCUCAACUUGUGAUGCUCAGAAAGACCCCGCAAUCUGUUAAGAGAUUUGAAGUGAGCCUUAUAAAUCACCAAUGUGGAUGUCGAUUUCAGACGCGUGAGUGCCUCCAUGGGGUCUUUGUAUGCUGUUGGGCCAAAGCGAACUUGGAGGGCUCUGAUGAAAGCAUCCCAGUUGUUGAACAACCGACUCUCCACUGCAUCUUGAUACCACACAAGGGCCUCGCCAUCCAUGUGGUAUGAAACCAUGAAUAGACACCGUGGAGAAGUUUGGUGGUACUCAAAGUACUGGUUUACCUUGAAGAUCCAUCCCAUGGUGUUCUCACCAUCAAAAUGAGGAAAAUCCAGGCAGACUCCUCUGGUGGCUAUUCUCCUGGGGUCAUGAAUCUCCCACUCCUGAUCUCUAUUUGCAAUCUGCGUUUGAUUCCCCACCAGCAUACACAUCAUACAAGCAAGCUGGUUCAAUCUCUCCCCGAUUUAUUGUAUGUUUUCCUCAUGAGAAUCCACUUGCCUUUGCAAGUUCUCCUGCUGUUGUUUGGAUCGAGUAGCCUCUGCCUUUGGGACUGAUUGGCUCUAGAUACCAAUUGUCAGCAACCCUUCCGGUGAUAAUGAGAAAGACAGUUCAAAAAUGUUUCAGAGUAAGCAAAAGAAGGAAAUGGAAAAUCUACUGUCAUAAGCUUGGGAUUGAUUCGAGGCAAUCCAACCUUCAAAGAUUCGAAGUUCUACAAGAUAAUUUUUUCAGAUCUGUUUUAUCCCAUUUCCAGUACUUAUACUCAGGAACAAGACAAUUCCUUCCAAGAAAAUACCAGAUAGAACUAACAGGAAGCAUGAUAACCAAAAGGCAAAAUAAUGGGAAAUCAUGUCAGGUGUCUGCCCAAUACUUUUGGAGUCUGGCGUAACAAACUGCUGCUUCUAGAAUUCACUUCAAAACGACCGUGUCUCGAGCCACCCAUAUGCCCCGUUUAUUCUUUCUGUCUUGCUUCCAAAACGUAGCAUUGCAUACUAAGAAUUAUAACACCCUGCACCAAAUGACACCGUCUUGCAGCAGGUUCAUAACAUAACUUGUUGCCUUGACCAGGAAAGAGCCAAACUUUCAAAGUGAGCAGUGGUUUUGGAGAAAACUUUUUCUUAAAGAAUUGAGUCAGGAGACCAUGGAAGGCCAUGGUAACAAUUUGAGUCCCAAUGGAAUUCAACCUUCGGGAGGAUCAAAUAAUUUUAGUGCAGAGAAACCUGGUGAGAAAGAGGGUUUUGUUAACCACGCCAAGACAGCAUGGCAUGAGAGAAGAAGAGAAUGGGUUGGUGACCACUCAAAAAAAUCACAAAGGGCACCUAGAAAACCAACUAUGGGCUUGGUCACUGCUGACAUGGAUAGGCUUUUAUCGUCUCAACCUUAUCAGCAGCUGAUGCCCUUACCUGUGCUGGUAGCCCUUUUAGUUGAAAUAUGGAUUGAAGAAGGCCUGUAUGACUAGCUAAAUGGAAUUGUCUAGCGAUGGGAAGAAUUUGAGGUUGCUGUUUUUGUACGGAUUGAUGACGAAGCAACCCCAUAGGUUAUACAAAUUUUUACUUCUGACAUUGAUUUACUGAUGCUAUACUUGGUUGUCUUGCUCUAGGUUACCUGAGUGAAAGUCAUUGCCCAGAAAUUUUGGGAUUAAGAGUUUAGGAACAUGUAGACAAUUGCUAAUCUGGGGGUGGUUCUUGUGGAUUAUCCACAGAUAAACAUUUGUGUAUUUUACCUAUAAUAAAUUUUAUGGCAGGGUUGCUUCUGAUUUUUGUUAAA